GGGGGUGUCAUGGCUUCGACGCGGAUACAAAGUCUCAAGGAGCAUGCCGGGGUGCAGGACGGUCCUCGAUAAAAACCUGUAAUUUUUUUAGUUGGCAACGACUAUGCAAUUGCUGCCUAAUUGAAGGUAGCCGCCUUUAUGUUUUAUGACUGCGAAAAUAUAAAAGGCGUCAUUUAGCGGUCUCGAAAAAAAGUUGUUACCCUUAGGGCUUUUUUUUUAAACUUGCUGAGGAGAUAAUUUAAAAAAUUUUGUUUGUGGAAGUUUUUAAAUUUAAUAAAACAUAAACUAAGCAUGUAGCGCCUUUUGAUAGAAGAUUCACGGAAGCGGGUUCGAUUCCCGCCACCUCCACCA
rnacentral:tmRNA from 1 species